AACGUACGCUGGCGGCACGCCUAACACAUGCAAGUCGAACGAAGUAGCAAUACUUAGUGGCAGACGGGUGAGUAACACGUAGGUAUCUGCCCUUUGGCCUGGAAUAACACGAGGAAACUUGUGCUAAUACCGGAUAAGUCUUUACGGAGAAAGCUUUAUGCACCAUUGGAUGAGCCUGCACUUGAUUAGUUUGUUGGUGGGGUAAUGGCCUACCAAGACUGUGAUCAAUAGCUGAUUUGAGAGGAUGAUCAGCCACAUUGGGACUGAGACACGGCCCAAACUCCUACGGGAGGCAGCAGUGGGGAAUCUUGCACAAUGGAGGAAACUCUGAUGCAGCGAUGCCGCGUGAGUGAAGAAGGCCCUUGGGUUGUAAAGCUCCUUCGUCGGGGAAGAAAAUGACUGUACCCGAAUAAGAAGGUCCGGCUAACUUCGUGCCAGCAGCCGCGGUAAUACGAAGGGACCUAGCGUAGUUCGGAAUUACUGGGCUUAAAGAGUUCGUAGGUGGUUGAAAAAGUUAGUGGUGAAAUCCCAGAGCUUAACUCUGGAACCGCCAUUAAAACUUUUCAGCUAGAGUAUGAUAGAGGAAAGCAGAAUUUCUAGUGUAGAGGUGAAAUUCGUAGAUAUUAGAAAGAAUACCAAUUGCGAAGGCAGCUUUCUGGAUCAUUACUGACACUGAGGAACGAAAGCAUGGGUAGCGAAGAGGAUUAGAUACCCUCGUAGUCCAUGCCGUAAACGAUGUGUGUUAGACGUUGGAAAUUUAUUUUCAGUGUCGCAGGGAAACCGAUAAACACACCGCCUGGGGAGUACGACCGCAAGGUUAAAACUCAAAUGAAUUGACGGGGACCCGCACAAGUAGUGGAGCAUGUGGUUUAAUUCGAAGAUACGCGCAGAACCUUACCAACACUUGACAUGUUCGUCGCGACUCUAAGAGAUUAGAGUUUUCGGUUCGGCCGGACGAAACACAGGUGCUGCAUGGCUGUCGUCAGCUCGUGUCGUGAGAUGUUGGGUUAAGUCCCGCAACGAGCGCAACCCUCACUUUUAGUUGCCAUCAUUAAGUUGGGCACUCUGAAAGAACUGCCAGUGAUAAGCUGGAGGAAGGUGGGGAUGACGUCAAGUCCUCAUGGCCCUUACGUGUUGGGCUACACACGUGCUACAAUGGUAUCUACAACAGGAAGCAAGACUGCGAAGUUAAGCAAAUCCCUAAAAGAUACCUCAGUUCGGAUUGCACUCUGCAACUCGAGUGCAUGAAGCUGGAAUUACUAGUAAUCGUGGAUCAGCGUGCCACGGUGAAUGCGUUCCCGGGUCU
rnacentral:rRNA from 1 species